AAGAGAAAGUAUAAUUUUGGUAGUACGCAAGGUUUUGAGCCUUCGUAGUGCAGGUUUGUGUCCUGUUCUCUUA
rnacentral:tRNA from 1 species